UUUUUAAAAUUUGUUAUCUACUUUCUUAAGUUGGAAGCUUAGAUCAUUAAUUUGAACUCACUGCAACCUCCACCUCCCGGGUUCAAGGGAUUCUCCUGCCUCAGCCUCCCAAAUAGCUGGGAUUACAGGUGCACACCACCAUGACUGGCUAAUAUUUUUGUAUUUUUAUUAGAGACAUUAGGACUGCUCUAUCCUCUUGAUGAACUGACCACUUUCUUAUUAUGUGUUUAUAGUUUUUAUCAAAUUUGCAAAGCAUUUGAGCAUUUCUGCAAAUACUUUUUCUUUAUCCCCUCCUUCUAAGACUAAUAUUACACUUAUGUAGGUCACUUAAUAUUGUCCCACAAUUCACUGAUGUUUUGUUAGUUUUUUAUUCAAUUUUUUUGUUUCAUGUUGUAUAGUUUUUUUAUGUCUUUAACUGAUCUUUUCUUCUGUUUAGUGUUUAACCUGUUGCUAAUCUCAUCUACUGUAUUUUUU
rnacentral:lncRNA from 10 species